ensembl:lncRNA
CACAUUGGCAGGGCUCAGGAAGUCCCGCUACGCUGAUUAACACACACUCUGCUGUUCCUCGCUGUAGGAUGUUCUUUCAAAAAGGCUCUGCUGAGAGUUUUGCCGUUAUUCUUCCCAAAGCUUGCUUGGCGAUGUCGUUCGGCGCGGUCAUUGCUAUGGAAACCGGAUUGUUUGUUAACCAAGUUUAGCAGCUACCAACUGCUCAGUGCUAUGAUACGAGGGAGCGUAAGACACCUGGUGGGAACAAUACGUUGGCAGGGUUUCUUCUUUGCUGAUUCCGAAUGUCCGUUUGGGGUUCCGGGUUCCUGCAGAGCAGAAGACAGAGGCCAACAAGCUGGAGGACGUCAGUAAAACGCACACACAGCUACUAAAUAGAUUCACAUAAUAAGUGGAUUAGCCAUCAACAUGGUGCACAUCCACUUUCUGUUGGAGACUCACUUUUGACAAUUGUGUUUGGGGAUACUUCUGCAGUGGUCGGCUUGGCCAAGGGGACUUUACAGUAAUUACAUGUGACUACAUGUAACAGUCAAUGACAUAUUGGUUUGGGGUUUGUGAGACCCUGUGGUACGGAGACUGGAGCAGACGGGGUUGCAGGCUGUCAUGACCCUGCUGGGCAAAGAGCCUACCAUGAGCAGAAGCCAAGAGACUUUAGGGAUGGAUGAAAAGAGAGUUUGGCAAAGAAACAAGUGAAUACAAAAGUGUUCACAGUGCUCCAAAACUGAAUAGAGCCAAACCAGACGAGUGCAGAUUGUGUUGAGUAAUACUGAAGAAAGGAAAGAUUUAACCAGAAAGAAAGGGAUCACAGAUUGAGAGAGACACCAUUGGUAAGGUUCACUUUCCUCGUGAUAACGGCUUUAUCCAUUUUCAUUGGUUUUUGAAGAUUAUAACAACAAUAACCUCUCUUAAGCUCUUCUGUUGUCAAAUCUUCCUGUGAGGAACUGAAAGAGCUCUUUGUGCACACUCACACUGCAAUAACAUGCCUCAGAAGGAAUUUACAAAACUGAUUAUAUGAAAGCAAUUAGUAGGGUAGUUUUUACAGCUUUUGGCAUACAUUUUGUAUCAGAGACUUCUUACAAGAGGUUUGAACCUAAGCCCGUUUGCGUAUUGUUUUGUUUGUCUUUAGCAACUGCACUACUUUUCCCUCUUGCUCAUCACACUGCUGUGGAGUCUUUUAUUUAGAUAAAUCUACAUCGGGUAAAUCUACGCGGUUUUCUGACCUUAUGUCGCCUUGUGGCUGGCAGGUGAGUCUCUAGGCUAUAGAGCACUAUUGUGUUUUGUGUAUGUUGUUUAGUAUCUCUUAUUUGGGAACAUAAACAGCAUGAGUAUGAGCUGCUGCCUUCAAUUGUCUGUCUGUGAACGAGGUGCAUGUUUGUGUGUGUGUGUGUGUGUGUGUGUGUGUGUGUGUGUGUGUGUGUGUGUGUGUGUGUGUGUGUGUGUGUGUGUGUGUGUUGGAUCUGGAGGCCAAAUUACUGGCAAUUGUGUUGCGCAAUGAGCCUCCAGAGCGAGAAUAACAGAAGGACUUGGUGAGCAGCAUUGCUAUGGCCCAGAGAAGGCAGCAGGAGCUGCGAAGAUGAGAUCUUCAGGGUGUUCAGCUGGUAACAGUAAUUGUUGUUCUAUCUUGGUAGUGUUGAGCACAUUGUAAACAGCAGUAGUGAUACCAGUGAGAUCUGCCUCCCAGGGUUUUGGCGAAUGUAUUGAAGGCAUAGAGCAUAGAAGGCUCAUCAACAACGUAGUAGCACGACAUCUGCGCUGGUCAUCCAGGCUCAUCUCAGCGCACUACAGCAGUCCACGUUAUGUCUUUUUAAGGCAGAUGUCAUGUUCUUUAUGUCAACUAGUCCACAUGUGAAACCCACACCCUGAAUAUAAGGAAUCUAAUUGAAAUGUGUUACAUUUGUGAUGCAUAUAAACCUUAUGCCUUUCCUACGUUUAUAGAUGUUUUUCUAGCCGUGGUUGCAUUUCCGUGUAUAGUUUUUGUACGUGCGUCUGCUGUAGCAGGCGGCUGACAAGGCGACUGGUUCGCUGCUCGCAGCGGGAAGCUGGUGAACACCGUGCAGUCAUCAGAAGUGACGGCCACUGAAGUUUCAAUUAUAAGCCACCACCGUGUUUGUGGACAGUUUGAUGGGCACCUGUUUGCCUUCCCUGUCCAUAUUUAAAGAAGUAAUUGACAAAGGACGGCGUUAAUUUGCAUGUAAUUUUGUGAUUGCAGUAUGUUCAUAUAACAGGCCUUCGCCUAGUGAGCCUCCAUCCUUCUGGUUGAAAUGCUCGCUCACAGCCUUUAAUGCUGGAUAAUUCCGAUUAUAACCCUAUUUUGCAUGAUCAAUCACAUACAUGCACUGGGUUUGUUGAGUUACUUUAGCUCUGCCGGUGCACGAGUCUCGGACUGUUGUAGCUUCCAGGUGUGUGCAUCAUGGAUGAGACGCAGCUCCUUUUAUUCCCAAAGGACUGUAACACAGCUGAAGCCCCGACGGACAUGUAAAAUUUGAGUAGUGAUCCCCCUCAAAGACAUUUCAUUAACGUUGUGCUUCCAAAUAUAUCCCCGGUAAUUUUUAAGGAUUAUAUCUUCCAUAACUGCACUGUCCUCGCCAGCGAAUUUCUUGGUAUCCUUUCGGAGAGGCCGGGUGCGUUUGAUUGCGGCGCCGGUGAGUUUACUGAUACACUAAUCAAUAGACAGGCGUGGUUAUAAGCACUAGAUGAGGCAGAUCCGACGGACGGCCCCGGUGCCAGUCGGCUGGUAGGCUCCAGCUGGAACAACAUCACAGAGCUGCAUAAGCUACCCAGCUUCCAUGCCAUCGUGGCCCCCUUUGAACAGCGCCCCGGAGACCGGGAGCUCCGGUUCGCCGCUGCUGAGCCAAGGAACGCCACACUGGGACGUUUUCCUUUGGUGUUGCAUUCAAACCAGCUGAGGCCUCAGGUAUUUAAGCUCUUUGGCAGACCGUUGUGGGAAGAUCUUUCUGUGAGGGCUCCGGUCCGUCCUCCGAAAAACAAUCUCAAUCAUCUUCUUGCUCCAGCAACACUUCUCCCUGGCAAAGAUGGAGAGGGAUCAAAGGCUUAGCUGUGAUGCAGUCCAGCUGGUAGGACACCUUCUGCUUCAUCUAUGACGCCACCACCGCAGGAGAAGCUUUCCACCUCUGAUAAUGUUCAGAUGGUGCACGUGCACACACUGCAAGCAGCAGCAAGAGGGGUCACACCUCCUGAAGUGAGAAGUGAGACUGCACCUGCUCUCAUGAAGUGGGCGGACUGACGACGGUGCACAAGUGCUGCAACAAUCAAUAACGCUAAGACGGCUUCUGUUUUGGGGAUGUGCGUCGACUGGAAUCCCGACUUGGCUGGUGAGGAGAGAACACAGCCUGCUGUCAGCCUGGGUCAAGGGGCCAGACAAGAUUCUGGCUACACACACGUGUGUGUGUGCGUGUGCGUGCAAGCAACCAGGGGUCAUUCAGGGCAGCUUGAGUUUCUCUUCAAGUGUCUGAGUUGGUCCUCAUUAUCGGCUGCUGCGCGUGAAAGCAGGGGCGCACCCUUCCCCGAAGCCCCCUCGGCAGCGUGGAGCAGAAAUCUGUGCCAGCAACUCCAUCAGUUUGCAUGUUCUGGCUCCCCCGGGUUCCCCCACCGCCGCGCCGCAGUCCUCUGCUCCGGAUGGUCUGACACCGUUAGGAAAUGCGUGUGGCCAUCGGUCACAGAUCCCGAUGAGGGAUGGACGGAUGAGACGCACCCCGCUAACGGGAUUCCAAUGUGAAGGAAUUAAUAAUAGCUACAAUUCGCUUUCACCAGCUUUCACUGACAUUAUGUUCUGUAUGUAACAUUUGGUCCAACCAACAAAUCAACAUGGCGUCGAGCUGUCCUCCUGCUGGAUGUCCAAGGUGACUCCCUCCACACACGGUUCCAUAAGGAUUCCAUCGGACCUCUUUUCUUUCUGAGCCAUUAACUUUCCGCUGUCAUCUGCACUUUCCAUUACAUUUUUCAUUUCUACCGAAACAUUGACUAUUGUUGUCGCUAUUUUUUUUGCAUGUCGCUUUGCGCCUCUCCCCUCCCACGCCUCAAAUCUGCCCUUCAAUGCUUUUACCUGAGCAAUUAAAAAAUCAGAUUUCGACCAUGGUGAAAAGUGUUUUCAUUUGUCACGUUUUUCCCGCUUCAAAGUAGCUGUCAUUGUUUAGCUCUUUACCUCUCACUCACUUCCCUAACAGCUCCUCUGUGCUCACCCACGUUCCUCUCCCCUUUUCCUCGCUGUGCUACUCCGAAACCAACGCACACUUCCGGCUCCUCUUGUCUUUCAUACUGCUUCCCUUUCGUUCCCUCUGUCCACUCUCUCUCUCUCUCUCUCCAUCUCAGCCUCAUCCCUCUCUCCUAGCUCCUCUCUUUCCCCUGUAGACCUCAACCUUUCCCUUGUUGUAGCCCCUCUUACUCCUUUUUACAGUUUGAUUACCUGAUUGGCACGGCAGUGCGUCAUGAACCAAAGCAGUAGGGCAGGCGGUCACCUCCAAAGUGUCGAUAUCUCUCACCUUACGGGCCCAUCCCUUUUCUGGCCACUCAUUGCCACCGUUCACAUAGUU